rnacentral:rRNA from 1 species
GUACACUCCUGCGGGAGGCAGCAGUGGGGAAUAUUGGACAAUGGGCGCAAGCCUGAUCCAGCCAUGCCGCGUGAGUGAUGAAGGCCCUAGGGUUGUAAAGCUCUUUCACCGGUGAAGAUAAUGACGGUAACCGGAGAAGAAGCCCCGGCUAACUUCGUGCCAGCAGCCGCGGUAAUACGAAGGGGGCUAGCGUUGUUCGGAUUUACUGGGCGUAAAGCGCACGUAGGCGGACUAUUAAGUCAGGGGUGAAAUCCCGGGGCUCAACCCCGGAACUGCCUUUGAUACUGGUAGUCUUGAGUUCGAGAGAGGUGAGUGGAAUUCCGAGUGUAGAGGUGAAAUUCGUAGAUAUUCGGAGGAACACCAGUGGCGAAGGCGGCUCACUGGCUCGAUACUGACGCUGAGGUGCGAAAGCGUGGGGAGCAAACAGGAUUAGAUACCCCUGUAGCCCCA